rnacentral:rRNA from 1 species
GACGAACGCUGGCGGCGUGCUUAACACAUGCAAGUCGAACGGAAAGGCCCUGCUUUUGUGGGGUGCUCGAGUGGCGAACGGGUGAGUAACACGUGAGUAACCUGCCCUUGACUUUGGGAUAACUUCAGGAAACUGGGGCUAAUACCGGAUCGGAGCUCCUGCUGCAUGGUGGGGGUUGGAAAGUUUCGGCUGUUGGGGAUGGACUCGCGGCUUAUCAGCUUGUUGGUGGGGUAGUUGCUUACCAAGGCUUUGACGGGUAGGCGGCCUGAGAGGGUGACCGGGGACAUGGGUACUAAGAUACGGCCCAGAGUCCUACGGGAGGCAGCAGGGGGGAAUAUUGCACAGUGGGCGGAAGCCUGAUGCAGCAGCGCCGCGUGCGGGAUGACGGCCUUCGGGUUGUAAACCGCUUUCGCCUGUGACGAAGCGUGAGUGACGGUAAUGGAUAAAGAAGCACCGGCUAACUACGUG